UACGGGGGGAGCAAGCGUUGUUCGGAUUUACUGGGCGUAAAGGGCGCGUAGGCGGCGUGACAAGUCACUUGUGAAAUCUCCGGGCUUAACUCGGAGCGGCCAAGUGAUACUGUCGUGCUAGAGUGCGGAAGGGGUUACUGGAAUUCUCGGUGUAGCGGUGAAAUGCGUAGAUAUCGAGAGGAACACCUGCGGCGAAGGCGGGUAGCUGGGCCGACACUGACGCUGAGGCGCGAAAGCUAGGGGAGCGAACGGG
rnacentral:rRNA from 1 species